rnacentral:misc_RNA from 2 species
AAGUCGUAACAAGGUUUCCGUAGGUGAACCUGCGGAAGGAUCAUUACAGAAUGAAAAGUGCUUAACUGCAUUUUUUCUUACACAUGUGUUUUUCUUUUUUUGAAAACUUUGCUUUGGUAGGCCUUCUAUAUGGGGCCUGCCAGAGAUUAAACUCAACCAAAUUUUAUUUAAUGUCAACCGAUUAUUUAAUAGUCAAAACUUUCAACAACGGAUCUCUUGGUUCUC